rnacentral:rRNA from 1 species
GAUGAACGCUGGCGGCGUGCCUAAUACAUGCAAGUCGAGCGAACAGACGAGGAGCUUGCUCCUCUGACGUUAGCGGCGGACGGGUGAGUAACACUUGGAUAACCUACCUAUAAGACUGGGAUAACUUCGGGAAACCGGAGCUAAUACCGGAUAAUAUAUUGAACCGCAUUGUUCAAUAGUGAAAGACGGUUUUGCUGUCACUUAUAGAUUGAUCCGCGCCGCAUUAGCUAGUUGGUAAGGUAACGGCUUACCAAGGCAACGAUGCGUAGCCGACCUGAGAGGGUGGUCGGCCACACUGGAACUGAGAAACGGUACAGACUCCUACGGGAGGAAGCAGUAGGGAAUCUUACGCAAUGGGCGAAAGCCUGACGGAGCAACGCCGCGUGAGUGAUGAAGGUCUUAGGAUCGUAAAACUCUGAUAUUAGGGAAGAACAAAUGUGUAAGUAACUAUGAACGUCUUGACGGUACCUAAUCAGAAAGCCACGGCUAACUACGUG